rnacentral:rRNA from 1 species
UACGAAGGGGGCUAGCGUUGCUCGGAAUUACUGGGCGUAAAGGGAGCGUAGGCGGACAGUUAAGUCAGUGGUGAAAGCCCAGAGCUCAACUCUGGAAUAGCCUUUGAUACUGAUUGUCUUGAGUAUGGGAGAGGUAUGCGGAACUCCGAGUGUAGAGGUGAAAUUCGUAGAUAUUCGGAAGAACACCAGUGGCGAAGGCGGCAUACUGGCCCAUUACUGACGCUGAGGCUCGAAAGCGUGGGGAGCAAACAGG